AUCACCUUGGCGACGGUGAAGGCCUUGGCGUGGGC
rnacentral:scRNA from 1 species